rnacentral:rRNA from 1 species
ACGAGCGAGAGAGAGCUUGCUUUCUCGAGCGAGUGGCGAACGGGUGAGUAACGCGUGAGGGACCUGCCUCAAAGAGGGGGACAACAGUUGGAAACGACUGCUAAUACCGCAUAAGCCCACGGUGCCGCAUGGCACAGAGGGAAAAGGAGUAAUCCGCUUUGAGAUGGCCUCGCGUCCGAUUAGCUAGUUGGUGAGGUAACGGCCCACCAAGGCGACGAUCGGUAGCCGGACUGAGAGGUUGAACGGCCACAUUGGGACUGAGACACGGCCCAGACUCCUACGGGAGGCAGCAGUGGGGAAUAUUGCACAAUGGGGGAAACCCUGAUGCAGCGACGCCGCGUGGAGGAAGAAGGUCUUCGGAUUGUAAACUCCUGUUGUUGGGGAAGAUAAUGACGGUACCCAACAAGGAAGUGACGGCUAACUACGUGCCAGCAGCCGCGGUAAAACGUAGGUCACAAGCGUUGUCCGGAAUUACUGGGUGUAAAGGGAGCGCAGGCGGGAAGACAAGUUGGAAGUGAAAUCUAUGGGCUCAACCCAUAAACUGCUUUCAAAACUGUUUUUCUUGAGUAGUGCAGAGGUAGGCGGAAUUCCCGGUGUAGCGGUGGAAUGCGUAGAUAUCGGGAGGAACACCAGUGGCGAAGGCGGCCUACUGGGCACCAACUGACGCUGAGGCUCGAAAGUGUGGGUAGCAAACAGGAUUAGAUACCCUGGUAGUCCACACCGUAAACGAUGAUUACUAGGUGUUGGAGGAUUGACCCCUUCAGUGCCGCAGUUAACACAAUAAGUAAUCCACCUGGGG